GUUUCCUGAGCACCUAUAAUCUACUGGAACAUACUAAGAUACUCAAACGAACAUAGAACACAUUAAAACAGCUAAAUUUUGCUGCCUUCAUUAUUAUUUCUAUUGCGAGCAAGCAAGUCACGAGUCAGAGACACUAAACGAGUUUUUUAACUUCGUUAUCAACAAAUAUACGUCGUUCAAAAAAAUCGGACACCUGUCUCUCGUUCGUUGCAAUUGCAACAUUUUAAAAAACUCGUUUACCUCGCGAUCGGGAAGGCUGCAAAAAUGUCAAAUCGUCGGGGUAAUGUGCCAA